GGCAGCAGACUAAACCAAGAUCCAGCUCAGUAUGAUGCCAUGUUUGGUGGGGGGAGAAGAGCACUGCUGUAAAGGAAGAUAGUGCAAUUAUGAAGGAGGCUGUCAGCUUUUACAGAUGCAUUCUCUUGUUCAAGCAUUUUCAUGUGAUUUUUCCAGUCAGAUCACAUCUAGUGAAAGAUCUGGGGAGACAGCCAGAACUCUAAAGAGGCUAAACAAAGCUGUUUGGCCAGUUCUGUAAAUCAGAUAAAAAGUUACAAGGAAGUCCAUGCUGGAAGAGGGCAUGCAGAUUCCUUUAUGCCACACAAGGAUUUUGCAAGACCAAGGUCAACCAGUUACAGUUGUGAGUGGGUGACAGCUACAGCCUGUAUUUUCCUUGAAGUAAUUUCAGCAUAACGUGAGGGGAUAUUUGAGAAGGCAAACUAUACAAGCCAGUUUUAAAGUCACUUCAGCUGACAAAUAAAGCGGAGACCUAAGGUUUAUAUUUAGUGCUUCCUUCUCCUCAUCUGAAACAUUUUAAGUACCGGAAAAAAAAUCUGUGCCACUGUCUUUUGUGCCAUAUUGAGAAUUUGAAAGUCUUCAGUCAACUGAGAAAUAAAGAAAGAAACAAGUAAGAUCUAUGGACAAUAGAUGUUUUAUGCAGUUCUCCAAGUCUACAAUUGUUGUACAGAAAAAUAGCACCUGUAUUGUUCAUACACAAUGGACUGGAACAGAAUCAGUAUUCUCAGGAAGCAGAGACUAUAUCUUGUUUUUCUAAGAAUAUAAUCUGAACAUGAUUCUUUCCAUACUCAAAUGUCAUCUUCUCAGGAUCCCAAAUUACACUGACCUCGUACAGUUGUUCAAAAGUUAUUUCAAUGUAUUUUUAUUCUCUUAGAUACUGCAGAAGACUGUAGUGGAUCCAGCUGGGAUGCUUCCUAGCAGCCGGUGCGGUGUUGUCCUCUGUAUCUGUGACUAAACCAUGUUGGUAGCACUCCAGUGUUUCAGCUCUUGCUGAGCAGUGAGUGCAAUCAAGGCCUUUUCUGUUUUUCACUCUGCACCCUCAGCAAGUAGACUGGGACUGAGAAAGAUGUUUGGAGUGGACAGAGAUGGGACAGUUGACCAGCAUUCACCAAAGGGUUAUUUCUUGCCAUACAAUGCUGUGCCCAGGAAUAAAACCUGUGUUUUUGAUCUUUCCUAUAAAGCUGUUGCUUGGGGGCUGGCUUGGUCUACUGGUGGGAGACGGUGUGUUACUGACUGCAUCACUUGUUAAUUUAUUUUCUUCAUUUUUUAAACUGUCUUUAUUAA